rnacentral:rRNA from 1 species
UACGUAGGGUGCGAGCGUUAAUCGGAAUUACUGGGCGUAAAGCGUGCGCAGGCGGUUUUGUAAGCCAGAUGUGAAAUCCCCGGGCUUAACCUGGGAAUGGCAUUUGGGACUGCAAGGCUUGAGUGCGGCAGAGGAGACUGGAAUUCCUGGUGUAGCAGUGAAAUGCGUAGAUAUCAGGAGGAACACCGGUGGCGAAGGCGGGUCUCUGGGCCGAUACUGACACUGAGGAGCGAAAGUGUGGGGAGCGAACAGG